rfam:Pan troglodytes isolate Yerkes chimp pedigree #C0471 (Clint) chromosome 10, whole genome shotgun sequence.
GCUGGAUGUGGUGGCAUACACCUGUAGUCCUAGCCACUCAGGAGGCUGAGGCAGGACGAUUGCUUGAGCCCAGGAGUUCGAGGCUGCAGUCAGUCAUGAUGGCACCACUGCACUCCAGCCUGGGCAACAGAGCAAGAUCCUGUCUUUA